rnacentral:rRNA from 1 species
GGUGACCUGCGGAAGGAUCAUUAACGAGUUAGGGUCUUCUAGGCCCGACCUCCCAACCCUAUGUUUAUUGAACCUCUGUUGCUUCGGCGGACCCGCCUCACGGCCGCCGGAGGACCGCUGCAAGGCGUCCUCUGGCCAGCGUCCGCCGAUGGCCAACCACUUAAACUCUGAAUGAAUCGUGUCAUAUGUCUAAGUCUAUGAUUAAAUUAAAGCAAAACUUUCAACAACGGAUCUCUUGGUUCUGGCAUCGAUGAAGAACGCAGCGAAAUGCGAUAAGUAAUGCGAAUUGCAGAAUUCCAGUGAGUCAUCGAAUCUUUGAACGCACAUUGCGCCCUUUGGUAUUCCGAAGGGCAUGCCUGUUCGAGCGUCAUUAUCACCCCUCAAGCCCCGUGCUUGGUGUUGGACGGCCGGUCGAGCGAUCGACCCCUCCUAAAGACAAUGACGGCGGCCUGUGGUUCCCCCGGUACACUGAGCUUUUAACUGAGCACGUAUCGGACAAGGGCACCCGGGACCCGGUCCUCUCCUUUAACUAGGAAACUUCUAAGGUUGACCUCGGAUCAGGUAGGAAUACGCGCUGAACUUAAGCAUAUCAAUAAGCGCAGGAAAAGAAACCAACAGGGAUUACCUCAGUAACGGCGAGUGAAGCGGUAAUAGCUCAAAUUUGAAAUCUGGCCUCUCGGGGUCCGAGUUGUAAUUUGUAGAGGAUGUUUUGGGUACCGCCCCGGUCUAAAUUUCUUGGAACAGAAUGUCAAAGAGGGUGAGAAUCCCGUCUUGGACCGGCGG